UUGCUGUACCAGGCCCUUGGAGCCUGCUUAAGUCCAUACAAAGCCUUUUUCAGUUUGUACACCAUGUUUUCUGCUCCCUCUAUCUCAUACCCAGCCAGUGAUAUAAUAGUUCUGAUGGUGUUAUGUCUUGACACCGGAGCAAAAGUUUCCCCAUAAUCUUCUCCAUAUGUUUGAGCCUCUCCACUAAAUCCCAUGUCUCAUUUUUGUUGAUAGUGUCAAUCUCGUCAUCCAUUGCACCUCUCCAAUCUUGGUCCACUAUGGCUUCUUCAAAAAACGCAGGUUCUUGCCAUGAAUCAAAACAUGACACAUACACCCAAAUACUCUAAGGUGACCAACUGACGGUUUGUGGCCACUCCAUGCUUCCAAGGGUGUUUUCUGAUUAAGGGCUUUAGUGGGAAGUCUA